rnacentral:rRNA from 1 species
GAUGAACGCUGGCGGCGUGCCUAAUACAUGCAAGUCGAGCGAAUGGAUUAAGAGCUUGCUCUUAUGAAGUUAGCGGCGGACGGGCGAGUAACACGUGGUUAACCUGCCCAUAAUACUGGGAUAACUCCGGUAAACCGGGGCUAAUACCGGAUAACAUUUUGCAGCGAAUGGCUCAAAAUUGAAAGGCGGCUUCGGCCGUCACUUCUGGAUGGAGCCGCGUCGCAUUAGCUAGUUGGUGAGGUAACGGCUCACCAAGGCAACGAUGCGUAGCCGACCUGAGAGGGUGAUCGGCCACACUGGGACUGAGACACGGCCCAGACUCCUACGGGAGGCAGCAGUAGGGAAUCUUCCGCAAUGGACGAAAGUCUGACGGAGCAACGCCGCGUGAGUGAUGAAGGCUUUCGGGUCGUAAAACUCUGUUGUUAGGGAAGAACAAGUGCUAGUUGAAUAAGCUGGCACCUUGACGGUACCUAACCAGAAAGCCACGGCUAACUACGUGCCAGCAGCCGCAGUAA